UCGCCGAGGGCGCCAUCUGUUGGAGGGGCGCACUGCCAGCGUCCUCCUCCUCGGGAAAAAUAUUUCAAUAAAAUCAUAAAAUAAUUAUCCCCUUUACGUUUCUGUCUUGAAAAUAACAAAUAAAGUUACAAAAUAAACGAAAGUAACUAUGUUUGUGACUUGGCAAGUCGCGUCACAUGACGUGGGGGCGCAUCUCAAAUCAGCGAACGAGCGAUCAGUCAGAGCAGGACAGCUCCAAGUCAGAGUGAGCUUCGGGCAUCUUGGAGCAGCAGCACCUCCACCACAUCUAAAAAACAACACCUGCCCCCUGUGAAACUCAGGCUGAAGCAGCGCCUCCUCUUCCGUGGCCAUGAGGAACAAGCUGAACACAAGGAAAUGGUUCCGGUUAAGCGCAGCAUCUACUGUACGUACGACGUCCUUGGCUCCUCCACCAAGCAUAAGGGAAGAGAGCUUUGGUCAUUUUUACAUGUUUCCAGAGUUCGAUGGGGUCACAUCAAUAAAUUUCCCCCUACCCCAACAGAGAACAAGCAGUAUACGAUCAGCCAAAUGAGAGAGUAUUUAGUAUUAUCAUUUGUAAUAAAAUUAAUUGGG